rnacentral:lncRNA from 1 species
AGGUCUACUUGGUGAUUGCAGGAGUGACUGGCUGAAGGAGAGCGGAGUUCAAGAUCCUCAGAGGACGAGGAGCGUUCAGGGAACUGAAUGGCCAGGCUGUUGGUAGGACUGUCUACACAUCUGUCGACAAUUCAAAGAACUAACAGAGGAGAACUUUUGAAGAGAAUGACAGUAAGCAGCAGCCUGAAUGGACUAGGACAGUAUUUGAAAUCAGACUUGGGAUUGGAAUCCUGACUCUACCAUUUACUGAUGGUGUAACCAUGUGAGGUCAUUCAAAUUCUCCAAGGAAUUACUAACAGUUAUUACAACCAAUGCGGACUUUAAAAUCCUACCUGGACAUCGAGUCAGAACCGGAAAAAGGGUAGACAGCAAAUUAACCAUGGAUUAAGCAGACAGGAGGCCAAUAAAUCCAUGGUCACUUGUGUUUCCACCAGACAAUGCCUACUGGGAGGGUAAGAAGUGGUCCUCACAGGCAGGGUCUCUUCCUCAGAGCAACAGGAUACAGAGGCUGCCAAGAGCUCCCAACCAAAAACAUGAAAGGAGGAAAGAACAAAAAGCAUCCAAAAGGAAAGAAAAGGAAAUCUGAACACAAGCUGGCUGUCCUACAAUUUAACUC